rnacentral:snRNA from 1 species
GACGCGAAUUAGGACCAGCG